GUCACUUCCGGCCAAGUUGGAGCGCGAAAAAAGAUCUCGGGUUUGCUGGAGCUUUAGACCAUUUGUAUGUGGCGGCGUUUGUGGCUGAAUCUGGAUAUAAUUUUGGAGACACCACCCGAGGUUAAGUGUGAAACUUGGAAUGAAAUCUUAACUGUAAAGAACACUUCCUACUGGGAUUUCCCAUCUUCCCCGCCCACCUCUCCUCCCCUCAGCAAGUCUUUUGCCCAGAUAAUACUUUGGAGACAGAUGAGGCGGGAAGGCUAAAGAAGGAGGAAUGUUUGAAAUUCAAGAUGACUGUGUGUUGCGAAUAUUUGGGGGUGAAGAGCCUGAGUUGUAAGAGUCAGAAAUAAUGGACUGGUGAGUAGACAAUAUUGAGGUGCCUGGAUCUCCAGGAGUGACUGCAGAGAGUCCUCCAUGUUCAACAGCUGAAGCAACAGAAGAGGGUGGGCCUAAGUAGUGCAGGAAAUUGGGUGUAAUAGGUUAAUUCUUUCCAUGAGCAUUAAAAAAGACACUACAUGUUAAGCGGUGAGUGGAAACCUAAAAGAGGAUGGGAUUGGGACUUGGGAUCUGGGUCAUGAGAAAACUAUAUAAAAAAACAGGAAACAAGUGACAGGACAUGAUUAUUGUUAUCAACUGGCAAAGGCUGUCAUAUAAAAUAAGAGAGGGAAUGAACUGGUGUGAUUAUUGAUCUAUAGUGAUUUAGCUAAAGAAAAUAAAACAUAAGUUAGAAUUAACAUUACCUACUUUUCAUUGCAACAGACUUAUAAACAUAUUCUUAACAGACUUGGUGACCUUGUAAUUAUGGAAUGAAAGCAAAUUAAGCAACUAGUUGCCUUCUGGGGUUCAAUUUUGUCCUUCUACCUCCAUUUUUACUUUUAAAUGAUUCAGGUGAUCAAAUAGCACAGUGAUGGUAGUAGAGAACUGAUAUUUGUUGAAUGUCAAUUACAUGUUGGGCACCACAGAAGCACAUUAAAAAUAAGUUUAUUUUAACUCUCAUGAGGAUGCUCUGAGGCAGGCAUGGUUAUCCCUGCUUUAACAAAAGAGAAAACUGAAGCCCAGUGAAACUGAAUGACUUGAUGGACACAUGACCAACUAAUUGUGGAACUAGAACUAGAAAUCUGGCCUUUGGGUAUGGUCUGUUGCCGUAUGUUGUAAUGCUGACAUGAAUAUAACUGCUUGCUGUAGUCUCUGGUUGAUAUUUUGAGCAUUUUAUGAAGCCAUGUAAGCCAGAAUAAAAGAUUGCUUACUUGAACUCUGCAAAAGAGGCAAAAGGAAGAAAGGUGAAAUAUUGAAAUGCUGAAAGGUAUUGAUUUUGGCAUCACAGAAAAAUAUGUGUACCUCUGGUUCUAGUGUUCAUACUCUCAUUCGCUUUCUCUUCCUUUCUAAUUUAUGUCUCAUCAGCUUCUGAAAAAGGAUUGAUGAAAGUUCUUUGGUUGACUCCCAGGAAAGUCAUAGGUAUUAAAAUUAUUUUCAAAUUUCUAGCUAAAUAGAUUGCUUGCCUUAAGAUUGUGAAGAACUAACAAUAUUGAUAAACAAAAAAAUUUAUGAGGGUAUUACAUGCUGUUGUGCUUCUUUAUAUGAAUGGAAUAAUUUUAUAUGUAUUUUUUAUAACCUGCUCUUCUGUUUAAUAUUAUAUUCUUGAGAUUCAUCCAUGUUCUUUCAUUUUUACUGUUGAAUGUGCAAUUCCAUUCUACGUUUAUACCACGGUUUGCUUACCCUUUGUAUUGUUGACCGACAUUUGGGCUGUUUCCUGAUUUUUGCUGUAACAAACAAAUGCUGGUGCGAGCAUUCUUUUACAAGUAUCUUGGUGCACAUUUCCAAGUGUUUCUGUAGGAGACAUAUUCUUGGGAGUAUAAUUGGUAGGUUAUAGGGUAAGUGCAUCAGUUUUAUUAGGUAAUGUCAUAAUGUUUUUUUCCAGAGUGAAUGCUGUACCAAUUUAUACUCCCAACAGCCACGUAAAAGUUUUCAUUUGUUCCAUACCACACCUAUACUUGUUAUUGUAAUUUUUAAACUCUUGCCAAUCUGAUAGCUCAGUGUAGUUUUAAUUUGUACAUCCCUGAGUACUAAUGAGAUUAAACAUCGUUUCUUAUGUUUUUUGAUCAUUUAUGUUUCCACUUCUGUUGCUUUCCAGGCCCUUUGCCCAUUUUCCAUUGGGUUAUUUACCAUUUUAUCAUUGAUUUGGAAAAGUGGUUUUUUAAAAAAUGUAUCUUUUGAAUACUAAUUAUUUGACAGUAGUUUGUGAUGCAAAUCUUUUCUUGCAGUUUAUGAUUUAUCAUUUCAUUUUAAAAAUGGAUUUGUUUUAUAAACACAAGAAUUAAAUUUUAAUGUAGUCAAAUGCAUUAUCUUUUCUUAAAUAGUUUGUAUUUACUGUGUUUUAGUU